GUGAGGGGAAGAUGGAGUGUGAGUUUGGCUGGAGAAUCCAGCGGUGGUUUGGGCAUCUGCCGAUGCCGCCAGAUCUUGGGACGCGGAAGGAGGAAAGGAAAUGCUGGAGACUAGGGAGCAACUUGCUUCAGUCCUCGUUGUGGUUCAGCCUGCAGAGACACCAACUCUGUUGCCUGCCUGCUACCCCCUCCAGCAUGUCAGUGCUGAGCCCUCACUGUGGAGCAGCGGCGUUGAAAGUGCUGGAAACUGGCCUCACUCGCCCGUCGGACGCAAGACAGUUGAGAAGUGGAGGGACGACGUCCAAAGCACACAAGUGGGGCAAAUGAAAGCCAUUUGUUUUAGAAAAUAAGUCUUCAUUAUGUCAACCCAUAAUAAAGUCAUAAAACAACCAAA
ensembl:lncRNA